AGUGAACGCUGGCGGCGUGGAUUAGGCAUGCAAGUCGAGCGAAUCCUUCGGGAUUAGCGGCAAACGGGUGAGUAACGCGUAGGUAAUUUUCCUUAAAGACAGGCACAGUAACGUGAAAACGUUAGUAAUUCCUGAUGUGGCCACAGUAUCGCAUGGUACAGUGGUUAAAGAUGGGGACUCUUCGGAGCCUAUCACUUUAAGAUGAGCCUGCGUCCUAUCAGCUUGUUGGUGAGGUAACAGCUCACCAAGGCAUAUGACGGGUAGCUGGUCUGAGAGGAUGAUCAGCCACACUGGGACUGAGACACUGCCCAG
rnacentral:rRNA from 1 species